rnacentral:rRNA from 1 species
AUGCGGCAACUCGUUGUCCUGAAUUUUUGUGCGGUGCAGGCGGACCUGAAAAAUGUGAAGAACAUGAAUUGGUGUAAGUUUAUUGCCGACUUCCUGCAUGAUGCAUUCUCAAGCAAGAUGUACCAAAAGGGUUGUCGACUGCAUUUAAUGCUCAUGUACGUCGACUGUCUUGAUCUGUCCACCGUGGAUUUCACUGGGACAGGAGGCCCGCCGCCUACGCACAAGUUUGCUGUUUCUGCAUGGACUAUUAACGCUGUCAAGGCUGUGCUUGCCACAGACAGGCUGAUGGCCAAGCAUGCUAUAGACUACAGCGUGUUUGGGGGGCCUCAAAACUUUGGAAAGUGGAUGGACGUGCACUCAGCUCUGUCUUGCCCUACUGAGGGCACCUGUUGA